UACGGAGGAUGGAAGCGUUAUCCGGAAUGAUUGUGCGUAAAGGGUCCGUAGGUGGUGAUGUAAGUCUAUUGUCAAAGGUUCUGGCUUAACCAGAGAUAGGCAGUAGAAACUGCAAAACUAGAGUGCAGUCGGGGCAGGGGGAAUUCCUGGUGUAGCGGUGAAAUGCGUAGAGUUCAGGAAGAACACCGGUGGCGAAAGCGCCCUGCUAGGCUGUGACUGGCACUGAGGGACGAAAGCUAGGGGAGCGAAUGGG
rnacentral:rRNA from 1 species